UGAGACGUGAUGCGUAGCCGUUUGAGGCGAAGUAGAGUGAUCCUAUGCUGCCGAGAAAAGCCUCUAGUGAGUGCAUGCACGGCCCGUACCCCAAACCAACACAGGUGGUCAGGUAGAGAAUACUAAGGCGAUCGGGUGAACUGUGGUUAAGGAACUCGGCAAAAUGCCCCCGUAACUUCGGGAGAAGGGGGGCCAAACAUCCUGAAGCUCUUCACGGGCUAGGGGUGGGUGGCCGCAGAGACCAGCGGAAAGCGACUGUUUACUAAAAACACAGGUCCAUGCGAAGUCGCAAGACGAUGUAUAUGGACUGACGCCUGCCCGGUGCUGGAACGUUAAGAGGACCGGUUAAUCCCUUCGGGGGUGAAGCUGAGAAUUUAAGCGCCAGUAAACGGCGGUGGUAACUAUAACCAUCCUAAGGUAGCGAAAUUCCUUGUCGGGUAAGUUCCGACCUGCACGAAUGGCGUAACGACUUUCCGGCUGUCUCAACCACAGGCCCGGCGAAAUUGCACUACGAGUAAAGAUGCUCGUUACGCGCGGCAGGACGGAAAGACCCCGGGACCUUUACUAUAGUUUGGUAUUGGUUUUCGGUUCGGCUUGUGUAGGAUAGGUGGGAGACUGUGAAGUCAUCACGCUAGUGGUGGUGGAGUCGUUGUUGAAAUACCACUCUGGUCGAAUUGGGAAUCUCAACCUCGGACCAUGAUCUGGUUCAGGGACAGUGCCUGAUGGGUAGUUUAACUGGGGCGGUUGCCUCCUAAAGAGUAACGGAGGCGCCCAAAGGUUCCCUCAGCCUGGUUGGCAAUCAGGUGUUGAGUGCAAGUGCACAAGGGAGCUUGACUGUGAGACAGACAUGUCGAGCAGGGACGAAAGUCGGGACUAGUGAUCCGGCACCACCUGGUGGAAGGGGUGUCGCUCAACGGAUAAAAGGUACCCCGGGGAUAACAGGCUGAUCUUGCCCAAGAGUCCAUAUCGACGGCAUGGUUUGGCACCUCGAUGUCGGCUCGUCGCAUCCUGGGGCCGGAGUAGGUCCCAAGGGUUGGGCUGUUCGCCCAUUAAAGCGGCACGCGAGCUGGGUUUAGAACGUCGUGAGACAGUUCGGUCCCUAUCCGCCGCGCGCGUAGGAUACUUGAGGAAGGCUGUCCCUAGUACGAGAGGACCGGGACGGACGAACCUCUGGUGUGCCAGUUGUCCCGCCAGGGGCAUGGCUGGUUGGCCACGUUCGGAAGGGAUAACCGCUGAAGGCAUCUAAGCGGGAAGCCUGUUCCAAGAUGAGGUAUCCCACCCC
rnacentral:rRNA from 1 species